rnacentral:tRNA from 2 species
GCCCUUGUAGCUCAGUAGGUAGAGCACGUCGUUGGUAACGACGGGGUCACCGGUUCGAUUCCGGUCGAGGGCU